GCAUAUACAGCCAAUAUGGCUGUAAAGAUAGUGCUGUCUCAAUUAACACCGGCAUUUCCUAUGGCCAGUCUGUCUCCUCAGGCAGUGGUGUUCAAAAGCCAGUGUCCUAUCCCGACAGCAAACCUUACCCACCUGUGCGUGAAACUUUCUCAUCG